rnacentral:tRNA from 17 species
GCGGAAAUAGCUCAGUUGGUAGAGCACAACCUUGCCAAGGUUGGGGUCGCGAGUUCGAGUCUCGUUUUCCGCUCAA